rnacentral:rRNA from 1 species
CCUACGGGAGGCAGCAGUGGGGAAUAUUGGACAAUGGGCGCAAGUCUGAACCAGCGAUGCCGCGUGCGUGAAGACGGCUCUCUGAAUGUAAAGCUCUAUCAGCAGGAGAGAAAAUGACGGUACCUGACUCAGAAGCACAGGCUAACUACGUUCCAGCAGCCGCGGUACUACGGAGGCGGCAAGCGUUAUCCGGAUUUACUGGGGGUAAAGGGAGGGUAGACGGUGCAACAAGUCAGAUGUGAAAGGUCGGGGCCCAACCCCGGGACUGCAUUGGAUACUGUUGGACUGGAGUACAGGAGAGGUAGGCGGAAUGCCUAGUGUAGCGGUGAAAUGCGUAGAGAUUAGGCGGAACACCAGUGGCGAAGGCGGCUUACUAAACUGUAACUGACGUUGAGGCACGAAAGCGUGGGGAGCAAACAGGAUUAGAUACCCGGGUAGUC